AUUGAACGCUGGCGGCAGGCCUAACACAUGCAAGUCGAGCGAGCGGCGGACGGGUGAGUAAUGUAUGGGGACUUCCCGUUCGAGGGGGAUAACUCCUUGAAACGGUAGCUAAUACCGCAUACUAUCGGAUAACCCAUAUGGGAUUAGCUAGUAGGUGAGGUAAUGGCUCACCUAGGCGACGAUCCCUAGCUGGUCUGAGAGGAUGAUCAGCCACACUGGGAAUGAGACACGGGCCAGACUCCUACGGAGGCAGGAGUGGGGAAUAUUGCACAAUGGGCGCAAGCCGGAUGCAGCCAUGCCGCGUGUAUGAAGAAGGCCCUAGGGUUGUAAAGUACGUUCAGUCGGGAGGCGUUACCGACAGAAGAAGCACCGGCUAACUCCGUGCCAGCAGCCGCGGUAAUUC
rnacentral:rRNA from 1 species